rnacentral:rRNA from 1 species
GAAUUGACGGGGGCCCGCACAAGCGGUGGAGCAUGUGGUUUAAUUCGAUGCAACGCGAAGAACCUUACCUGGUCUUGACAUCCACAGAACUUUCCAGAGAUGGACUGGUGCCUUCGGGAACUGUGAGUGCACCGCGCAGCAGGUGUAUAACGGCCUGGCAGGAAUGUGGCUGGUCGAAGACGACAUCAGUAAAACGCUGCCCAUUCCGAACCAUUACGGCGUGGGUGAUUUUUCCGUCAUUAUCCAGGAUAAACG